rnacentral:rRNA from 1 species
AUUAGAUACCCUGGUAGUCCACGCAGUAAACGAUGAGCACUAAUUGUCCGGAGCGAGUGAGCUCUGGGUGAUACAGCGAAAGCGUUAAGUGCUCCACCUGGGGAGUACGCCGGCAACGGUGAAACUCGAAGGAAUUGACGGGGGCCCGCACAAGCGGAGGAACAUGUGGUUUAAUUCGAUGAUACGCGAGGAACCUUACCCGGGCUCAAACGCGGCGUGAAUACUUUUGAAAGGAGGUAGUCAGCAAUGACACGCCGCGAGGUGCUGCAUGGUUGUCGUCAGCUCGUGCCGUGAGGUGUCGGCUUAAGUGCCAUAACGAGCGCAACCCCUACCGUCAGUUGCCAGCAGGUUAGGCUGGGGACUCUGACGGGACUGCCGGCGCAAGCUGCGAGGAAGGCGGGGAUGACGUCAAAUCAGCACGGCCCUUACGUCCGGGGCGACACACGUGUUACAAUGGCAGGUACAGCGGGAAGCCACCGGGCGACCGGGCGCGGAACCCGAAAACCUGUCUCAGUUCGGAUCGGAGUCUGCAACCCGACUCCGUGAAGCUGGAUUCGCUAGUAAUCGCGCAUCAGCCAUGGCGCGGUGAAUACGUUCCCGGGCCUUGUACACACCGCCCGUCAAGCCAUGGAAGCCGGGAGUGCCUGAAGUGUGCGACCGCAAGGAGCGCCCUAAGGUAAAACCGGUGACUGGGGCUAAGUCGUAACAAGGUAAC